UACAGAGGAGCCAAGCGUUGUCCGGAUUGACUGGGCGUAAAGCGCACGCAGGCGGACGCGCGCGUGGGGUGUGAAAUCUGGCCGCUUAACGGCCAGGCGCCAUCCCAUACGGCGCGUCUGGAGCAAUGCAGAGGUCGGUGGAAUUGCCGGUGUAGUGGUGAAAUGCGCAGAUAUCAGGAGGAACACCAAUGGCGAAGGCAGCACUCUGGGACGGUACUGACGCUGAGGCUCGAAAGCAUGGGGAGCAAACAGG
rnacentral:rRNA from 1 species